UAGGGAAUAUUGGACAAUGGGUGAGAGCCUGAUCCAGCCAUGCCGCGUGCAGGAAGACGGCCUUCUGGGUUGUAAACUGCUUUAGCCUGGGGAUAAAACGACCAUGCGUGGUUAAUUGAAGGUACCAGGAUAAUAAGCCACGGCUAACUACGUGCCAGCAGCCGCGGUAAUACGUAGGUGGCAAGCGUUGUCCGGAUUUAUUGGGUUUAAAGGGUGCGUAGGCGGUUUCAUAAGUCAGUGGUGAAAUACGGCAGCUUAACUGUCGAGGUGCCAUUGAUACUGUGGAACUUGAGUACAGACGAGGUAGGCGGAAUUGACGGUGUAGCGGUGAAAUGCUUAGAUAUCGUCAAGAACACCGAUAGCGAAGGCAGCUUACUAGACUGUAACUGACGCUGAGGCACGAAAGUGUGGGGAUCAAACAGGAUUAGAUACCCCCGUAGUCC
rnacentral:rRNA from 1 species